AAAAACAAGAAUGAUAGAAUAGUGCAUCUCCUCGAGUCUGUGGACUUCUUUUUGUGAUCUGUAGCAUCAUUCUUCAUGUUUUUCUUGUUUCUGCAGUCCAUGGACUUUUUUUUGUGUGAUCUUACCAUAUAUAUACUACUUAGUUGUGUCCAUCGGGGUCUGAAUUUAGCUAUGUUGAUUUUUUUUCUUUCCUCUUUUCAGAAUAUGGGGAUAGUGAUCAUAUUUUGGCUCCCAGGAAACUAUAUUUGGCAGUUAUAUUUGAUUUCUCUGAUCAUUUCCUCAAGGUCUUCAGGUUUUUAUUGGUUGUCAGUUUGUUAUGUUGAAGCAGGCCAUUUGGGUUUCAGCCUAUCAUAUUGUGUGAAUCCAAGCACCACCAAGGCAGUAUGCUACACACCACGAAUGUGCUUGUGGAAGAUUCAGUAAUUGCAGAAAAACUAAGGAGAUGGUGUGGCAAGGCAGGGGACUGGGGAGUGCAUGAUGCUAAUCAAUUCCAGUAUGUACGCCACAGUGCCUCUUCCCUUCUUUUCUGGUAUAUCAAUCCAUUUCGCAUAUAUGCAGCCACCCACUGAAAUAGCAUAUUGUUAUUUCAAUCCAUACAUGAAGAUCUAUUGGAGGUGUGCAGCAAGGACACACCACAUAAUUUUUGCUGGUCUUACAAAAGGUAUCUAUGAAAAAGUAACCAAUUUGUGAUGCAAACAACCAUUCUAGGCCUUGAACAACUUCUCUUGAGUUGUUCCAUUUCUUUAAAUCUUCUCUGCCCUAGGUUGGCCUCAAACUACCUCAUUCAGCCUAUUCGAAGAUCUUAUUUACUUUUACCAACUUGCUGAAACUGU